rnacentral:rRNA from 1 species
UACAGAGGUCUCAAGCGUUGUUCGGAUUCAUUGGGCGUAAAGGGUGCGUAGGCGGCGCGGUAAGUCGGGUGUGAAAUCUUGGAGCUUAACUCCGAAACUGCAUUCGAUACUGCCGUGCUUGAGGACUGGAGAGGAGACUGGAAUUCUCGGUGUAGCAGUGAAAUGCGUAGAUAUCGAGAGGAACACCAGUGGCGAAGGCGAGUCUCUGGACAAUUCCUGACGCUGAGGCACGAAAGCUAGGGGAGCAAACAGG